AUUGAACGCUGGCGGCCGGCCUAACACAUGCAAGUCGAGCGAGCGGCGGACGGGUGAGUAACGCAUGGGGACUGCCCGAUAGAGGGGGAGAACCACCGGAAACGGUAGCUAAUACCGCACACAAUCGGAAAACCCAAAUGGGAGUAGCUAGUAGGUGCGGUAAUGGCUGACCACGGCGACGAUCCCUAGCUGGUCUGAGAGGAUGCUCAGCCACACUGGGAAGGAGACACGGCCCAAAGUCCUACGGAGGCAGCAGUGGGGAAUAUUGCACAAUGGGCGCAAGCCUGAUGCAGCCAUGCCGCGUGUAUGAAGAAGGCCCUAGGGUUGUAAGGUACUUUCGGUCGGGAGGCGUUACCUGAAUAAGAAGCACCGGCUUACUCCGUGCCAGCAGCCGCGGUAAUUC
rnacentral:rRNA from 1 species